UCAGAAUGCCGCGGUGAAUACGUUCCCGGGUCCUUGUACACACCGCCCGUCACACCAUGGGAGUUGGGGAUACCCGAAGCCUGUGAGCUAACAGUAAUGAAGCAGCAGUCGAAGGUAGAAUCAAUGAUUGGGGUGAAGUCGUAACAAGGUACC
rnacentral:rRNA from 1 species